CACGUAGGGCGCAAGCGUUGUCCGGAAUUAUUGGGCGUAAAGAGCUCGUAGGCGGACUGUCACGUCUGCUGUGAAAAGCUAGGGCUUAACCCUGGCCUUGCAGUGGAUACGGGCAGACUAGAGGUAGGUAGGGGAGAAUGGAAUUCCCGGUGUAGCGGUGAAAUGCGCAGAUAUCGGGAGGAACACCGGUGGCGAAGGCGGUUCUCUGGGCCUUACCUGACGCCGAGGAGCGAAAGCGUGGGGAGCGAACAGG
rnacentral:rRNA from 1 species